GACGAACGCUGGCGGCGUGCCUAAUACAUGCAAGUAGAACGCACAGUUUAUACCGUAGCUUGCUACACCAUAGACUGUGAGUUGCGAACGGGUGAGUAACGCGUAGGUAACCUGCCUGGUAGCGGGGGAUAACUAUUGGAAACGAUAGCUAAUACCGCAUAAUAUUAAUUAUUGCAUGAUAAUUAAUUGAAAGGUGCAAUUGCACCACUACCAGAUGGACCUGCGUUGUAUUAGCUAGUAGGUGAGGUAACGGCUCACCUAGGCGACGAUACAUAGCCGACCUGAGAGGGUGAUCAGCCACACUGGGACUGAGACACGGCCCAGACUCCUACGGGAGGCAGCAGUAGGGAAUCUUCGGCAAUGGACGAAAGUCUGACCGAGCAACGCCGCGUGAGUGAAGAAGGUUUUCGGAUCGUAAAGCUCGGUUGUAAGAGAAGAACGGGUGUGAGAGUGGAAAGUUCACACUGUGACGGUAUCUUACCAGAAAGGGACGGCUAACUACGUG
rnacentral:rRNA from 1 species